UUACGGCCAUAUCAUGUUGAAACACCGGUUCCUGUACGACCACCGAAGUUAAACAACAUCGAGUCUGGUCAGUACCUAGAUGGGUGACAGCUUUGGAAUACCAGGUGCUGUAAG
rnacentral:rRNA from 1 species